rnacentral:hammerhead_ribozyme from 1 species
AUCCAGCUGACGAGUGCUAAAUAGGACGAAACGCGCGUCCUGGAU